CCUACGGGUGGCAGCAGUGGGGAAUAUUGGGCAAUGGGCGCAAGCCUGACCCAGCAACGCCGCGUGAAGGAAGAAGGCUUUCGGGUUGUAAACUUCUUUUCUCAGGGACGAAGAUAGUGACGGUAGCUGAGGAAUCAGCCACGGCUAACUACGUGCCAGCAGCCGCGGUAAUACGUAGGUGGCAAGCGUGAUCCGGAUUUACUGGGAGUAAAGGGCGUGUAGGCGGGAAAGCAAGUCAGAUGUGAAAACCAUGGGCCCAACCUGUGGACUGCUGUUGAAACUGUUUUUCUGGAGUGCUGGAGAGGCAGACGGAAUUCCUGGUGUAGCGGUGAAAUGCGUAGAUAUGACGAGGAACACCAGUGGCGAAGGCGGUAUGCUGG
rnacentral:rRNA from 1 species